AAAAAAAAAAAAGAAAGAAAGAACAGAGCGUAGAGAGAAAGGAGACGAAGCCGACGACGACGAAGAGAGAGGAGCCGUCCUGUGUGUCGCCAACCAGGCUGCGUCCUCUGCUGAUGCUGCUGUGUGUGCCAUUGUUUCUGUGUAUGGCGCAAGAGUGCUGCCGGUGCUGCUGCUGGGAUGAGAUGGAUCCGGGCGUCGUCGUUACCGUAUGAGUGGAGAGGGACCUGGAUCAGCGGAAUGGUUUGGUUUGGAGUCAGAUGAGAGGAGAGAGAAUAUAACUCAGAUUUCGGGCCAAUCAAGCCACUGGGUUUCAAGCUACAAAGCAUUAUGCAUUUUUAAAUUAAGUAAUGUUAGAAUUAUCAUAUUUUGAUACUAUAUAAUGUAACAUCUUACAUAAUACUAAUUACAUCAUUUGACAA